rnacentral:lncRNA from 1 species
GGAUGAGUCCAAAGACAAAAACUGCAGCUGCUGAUGCUAUAUUGACUGGCUCCCCAAGUAAGAUCAAGAUAGGUUUGGAAAAUAUAUAGAUCAUCAUUAAGGGGAAUAUCCCUGUUGCCAUGAGGAGAACAGUUGAUCUUUGGAGGUAUAUGCCUAGCAUUUCAUGUCUAUUUGAUCCAUAUGCUUGGCCACACAGAGUUUCUACUGCACUUCCCAUACCAAGCUGCAACAAGACAAAAACUUCUUUAGCAAAAGUAGAGGAGAAUUCUCCACUUGAUAUAGAAAUAAAAAACAAGAAGUGUAAAGAAAGAAAUUGGAUAACUGGAAAGACAAACCGAUGGAGGAUUAUGCAUGAAGUUCUUUUUUGGCCUAAAGGCUUCCCCCAAAAAAAAAAAAAAACAAGAAACACUACUUCCAAAUCCUAAAGUUUAAAAGGGUAAAAAGGAAAGGAAUAAACAAAAGAAAGAGAAGAAAAGAAGAGAGAAUGAUCAUGACCAUCCAUGAAAUAUAUGAGAAAGAGCAGACAGAGAUCAGGACGUAUUACCAUAAGGCCAUAGGCAAACAUUUGGAUACCAUUGUUACCAAGAGAGACAGCAGCAAGCUCAAGGUUUCCAAGGUGACCACAAAAGAUCUGAGUAGACAUGGAAACAACAUUAUUGAGCAAGUAAACUAUCACAGCUGGAGCUGCAAGGUGGAAAAGCAAUUUCAGUUCAACCCAGGAAGCUGAACGGAUUCUCUUAAAAUAUGGUGCUUCAGUAUCUGUUAGUAUUUGUUCAAGCUCAUCGCCCACUGUCUCAUCAUCAUGGUAAGAGAGUUUAAAGUCUAAUCUCGGAGGAUCAGUCUCCAUUAAUUUUCCUCUUCUAUUGAUCUUGUAAUUUGAGCUUCUGUAUCAAAUAAAUGCUUUGUCUUCAACAACAUAGCAUAGCUAUAGUAAUUAUAUCAUAAAGUUUAUAUGAGGAAGAUACCUGCAAACUCUCGAUCGGAUUCCUUUUUUCCACAUGACGUGGUCAACUUAUUACAAAAACAAUAAAAAACAGUGUGGUUAAUUUAGUUGAUAUUUUCGUCGCAUGUCCAUCAUCACACCAUUAUUUUUUCGAUCAGGCUUCAAGUUGUCGGGCUGAAUUGUUUUUUUUUAUAUAUAUAAAAUAAUAUUAAAAUAUUUAAAUGAGAUUAAAAAACAUAAAAAAAUAUUUAGGACAAAUAUAUAAUAACGCUGAUUAGAGUAUCUUUCCGAUUCAUAUUCAUUAUGUGAUUAGAAUAACUUUAUAAAAUAAAAAAUACAUAUAUUAUAAAGCCUUAAAAAUAUAUAUAUAAUUUUUUAAAUUUGUGAUCCGAGUAAUUAAACUUAAUUCAUCUAAUUUAGAAAAAUUACAAAUUCUAAUUCCUAAUAAAGAAAAUAUUAAAUGAUAAAAUUGAAAAAAAAUUAAUCUUAUUACAAAAGGAUUGAAAAAAUAGUAAUUCAAAAAAUAAAGAUUAAAAUCAUUAUUAUACUUAUUAUUAUUAAGUAAUAUCAUCAUUAUGAUUAUUAAAGUUACUGCCAUACAUUAUUACCAUACAUUAUUAUUAUUAUUAUUAUUAUCAUUACUACUACUACUACUACUCUACUACUAUUAUUAAAAAAAUAAAAACCAUAAACUUGAUUUGAAGAAUAGAAUUGAAAACUAUAAAAAUUUUAACAAAGAGGCCAAGAAACAAAAACAGAAAUCAAAAGAAAGUGGAUCAAAUUAAAAUUAUUAGUAUUAUCAUUAAAAAAAAUAAAAAAUCAUAAACUUGAUUUGAAGGGUAAAAAAAUAAAUAAGAAAAAUAAAGCAAAAGUACCGAAUCGAAACAUAUUAUUUAUACAAAUUAGAAAUCAAUGGUUAAAUUGAAAAUAAAUAAACCUUUAACCAAAAAAAAAUAACAAAAGUACUAAAAUUAAAACUAAAAUUAUUGAAUCUGAAAUACCAAUAACAAUGAGGACAAUAGUGCUUUUUUUGGGUUAGAAAAGAGAAACAAAGAGAGGAAAAAGAAGGGGUCGCCGACGAUAAAUCAGCAUAUUUUGACUACACGUGCCACCUAUUAUGGAAGAGGAGACGGCGAGGAAUAAAUAAUAUGGAGAAAACCCAUUUUUUUUCCACUGGCAGCUGACACACGCGUCGUCCAAAGUACGCGGCAGCUCCCACACGCCAGCAGUUUUUUCCUAUUAAAAAAUAUUAUUUUAAUAUUAAAUUACAUCAUUAUCCUCAACCAAACCAACAAUUAACAAAAAAAAAAAAAAAAAACCAAGACUAGACCAUAAUAUCACUAACCCUAAUGAAUUAAAUUUAUUUGAUCUAAGAGUACAUGUAUAAUCCUAUUGUGUAUAAAAAGAUAAAAAUACCUAAAUACCGCUACUAGAAACAAUUGAUUUUUUUUAUACUUGGAUAUGUUUUUGGUUAUUUUACUGUUUAUUUAAAUAUUAAAUUAAUAAAAAAACCCUUAAAAAAAUCAAUAAUAUCUAAUGCACCAUCUAAAAAUACCAAAAUACUCUUAGAUAAAAUCAAAGGCACUCAAUUUUCUAUGCCAAACCAUAAAGAAUCACAGUGAAUAAUGAGUUGUCUAUCGUUACGGGGAAAUCACAUUCCCUUUUUAGAAUAUUUGUUAUAUUAAUUGGGCCGUGCAACUCGUGAAUUCAUAAACAAGAUUAACAAAUAUAUUUAUUUAUAUUCUCAUGAAUAAAACAAAUCACGUUAAAAUGGUUGCGCGGAGAUGUUUACCCUUUGAAUAACAUCAUGGGAAGUUCUAUAGGAUCAUGUUUAGUACACAGUGCAGCAGCACGAUCGAUGCAAAUAAAUAGUAUGAAAGGUGAAAAAUGCAAUAUUAAACUAUAAAUUGAUAGUAUAAAAUUGUCACCUCGAAAUAUAUAUAUAUAUAUAUAUAUAUAUAUAUAUAUUGACACAGAGUAUAGUGUGAUAAAGAUUUAGGUUCUCAGUAUUAGAGGUUACAGUCUUAAACGGUACAACAAUUAAAUAAAUGAAAAUUAUAAUAUUUGUUAAAAAGUCCUUGAAUUAAUUAAUUUGAUAAAAAAAAAUAGCAUACCAACUAUUUAAAAAAACUGAUGUAUUCAAAAGAAUUUGAAGUUAAGAAAAAUAAUUAAAAUCCAAAAUUAACUAAAAAGAUAAUUAUUUAAAAAAAACAUGAUUUCUAGAUCUAAAUUAAAGACCUUCAUGACCUCAACUAAUUACUGUUAGAUCCAUUUUCUGCUCAAACUCCUGAUUAAAUUUGAGUUUCAUCUAAUCUAAUGAUUAGAUCUAAAGUUAUAGAUGUUUUUUUUUAAAAUAGAAAUGAAUGAGAAACAAAUAAUGAAAUCUAAUCCCCAACAAAUUCAAUAUUGAAGAAUGUAAUUAGAAAAAAAUCAACUGUAGAAAAAGACCUAAGAAAAAGAGAUAAGUCAAUCCGAGCUAACCUUCUAAAUACAUGACCCGGGUUUUAAAUUCGAGAUUGCACAUAGAAGGCAAACUCAAAAAAAUUAUGAAUCCAAAUAAAAUAUCAUGAAACAAGCAUCUCGUGCUUAUAUUUAAUUAAACAAUUUAAUAUAAUUCACGAAAAAAAUAUCUUUUUAAAAAAGCUUAAUUUAACAAAGAAUGAUAAAUAAAAAAACCUGAGAUAAUCCGGGUUAUUUUUAAAAUUAUCAAAAAAAUUAUAGAAAGCAAGUUAAAAUACAGAAGAAUGAAAUUGGGUCAAAAUGAUUAAAAAAAAAGAAACUCAAGUCAACCCAAAUUGACAUGACAAACCUUUAACCCAAGUAAUAAGAGUGGGAUAACUUAAUAAAAAGCAAAUAGAAAAACAAAUAACAAAACUCAAUUCCCAACAAACCAAUUGUUGAAUGAUGAAACUGGAAAGAAAUCAACAAAAAAAAGGAACCUAAAAAAUCAAAACCAAGUAAGACAACUAACCUCGUGACCCGAAUCAUGCUAAUAGAAUAACCCAAUAAAAUCCAAAACAUAAAAAAUUUUGAAGAUUAAUUUAUAAAAGAACUGGAUUUUGAAGGAUUAAAAAAAUAAAGUUUCAUUUAACAAAAAAAAUGGUCGCAUAAAAAUGUCAAAGCCAAACCAGGUUAAUUUGUCAAACUCGUAGCCUAAGUUAUGAUAUCGGGAUAACCCGAUAUAAAAGAAAAUAGAGAAAAUCACAAAGCUCGUUUUUUUAUAUAAAAAAAAAUAAUGUCGAAUGAUAAAAUCAAAAAAAAAAAUAAGUCUACAAAAACAAUGUUAACUAGCAUUAACUUCUCAAACUCAUGACCCAGGUCAUUAGAGCAGAAGCACCUCAUUUGAAAAAACCAUGAAACACAAUUCUCAACCAAUCAAGUGUUGAAGAUGAAAUUGAAAAAAAAAUAUAAAAACGGAUCCAAAACCCAAAAAAAUAACAAUUAAAAAAUGAGCAUCAAAAUUGAAAUAAAAAAAUAGAGGACAACUAAUUAAUAAUUUUUUUAUUAAAUGAUGAAAUUGAAAAGAAAAAUCAAUUUAAUAAAAAGACCAAAAACAACAAUCAAAUGAAUGAAAAUAUUUGAAAAACAUAUAUAUUAUAAAUAAAGAUUAAAGGAUGAAAUUGAAAAUACAUCAAAAUUUUAUAAAAGGUUCAAAAAAAUAAAUAAAAAAUCAAUGGAAUAAAAACUGAAGUUGAAUUAAAUAUCAAUAAAUAAAAGAGCAAUUUUAAAAUUUAGAAUGGUCUAUAGAAGAUGUAAGAACUCAGAAGCUUACAGUGUAAUAUUUCAACAUAAUUGUAUUGAUGCUUAGCCUAUUGUUUUAUACUCAAAUUACAUAUUCUUGUAAGGAAAGAUUACAGCAAUCAAAAAUAGUUAUGGACAUAAUAUUUGUAUUAAUUCACAAGCAUGAUUGUAGGCUUAGUUACUGCUGCAAAUCAUCUGCGGAUUUCUUGCAUCUGCAGAUUUCUUGCAUCUUCCUUAAUAUGCCCCCGCAAAAUUGAACUUCCAUCGGCAAGUCCAAUUUUGGAGCGUAAAAAUUCAGUGCGCGCCCGAGACAGUGGCUUGGUUAAUAAGUCAGCAAGUUGAUCUUGAGUGUGGACGUGUUUCACAUGGAAAGUACCCUUCUGAACUUGAUCACGCACAAAGUGAAGAUCAAUUUGGAUGUGCUUCAUUUUGGAGUGGUGAACCGGAUUAAAACUAAGAUGAGUUGCACCAAGAUUAUCACACAGUAGAGAAGGUGGCACUGUCAAUGGAAAUCCAAGUUCAUGAAGGAGUGCAAGGAGCCACAAUGUUUCUGAAGCACCAUUAGCAAGCGCGCGAUAUUCAGCUUCCGUAGAGGAUCGAGCAACAGCCCUUUGUUUUGUUGAGCGCCAGGAUAUAGGAUUGCAUCCAAGAAAAGUAAUGUAGGCCGAGGUGGACGUGCGAUCAUCAAUGUUGCCAGCCCAGUCAGCAUCACUGUAAGUUAUUAAACAAGGGGCAGCAGCUUUCCUAAUAUGGAUACCAUGAAAUAUUGUUUGCUUGAGAUAGCGAAGAAGUCUCUUGGUGGCUGCCCAAUGAGUGACCGUUGGCUUGUGCAUAAAUUGAGAAAGCUUGUUUACUGCAAAACAAAUGUCUGGACGAGUUAGGGAGAGGUAUUGCAGUCUACCAAUGAUGCGCCUGUACUCAGUGCUGUCCACUGAUGUUGUGCCAUCUAGCAGAUGAAGGGAUUGAGUAGUGGACAAUGGGGUAGAAAUCUCCUUGGCACCAGCCAUGUGUUGAUUCUCCAACAUGUCCCGGAUAUACUUGUGCUGGGAGAGAAAUAAACCGGCAGUGGUGGGAAUGACUUCAACUCCUAAGAAGUAGUGAAGUGAGCCCAUAUCUUUUACAGAGAACCGAGCACCAAGUGUGUUCACAACAUGACCUACAAACUGAUUAUCACUGCCUGUAAUCAUCAACAUAAACAAGCACAUAACAGAUAAGGGAGUCAUGACGAUAAAUAAACAAUGAGGAGUCAGCUGUAGAAAUCUGGAACCCGAUUUGCAGAAGGGAAUCCCGCAAGGCUGAGUACCACGCCCUAGGAGCCUGCUUGAGACCAUAGAUGGCUUUCCUUAAUCUGCAUACAUAAUGGGGUUUGGACAAAUCCUUGAAACCCGGAGGCUGCAUCAUAUAAACAGUUUCAGACAACAUGCCAUGUAAAAAGGCGUUAUUGACAUCCAUUUGUCUCAAGGGCCACCCAUUCAUAACAGCAAUAUUCAGCACUGUUCUAAUGGUUGCUGGUUUAACAACCGGGCUAAAGGUUUCGUUAUAAUCAACUCCAGGACACUGAUUAUAACCCUUUGCAACAAGUCGGGCUUUGAAUUUAUCAACCGAGCCAUCGGCCUUCCGUUUUAUGCGGAAUACCCACUUACAACCCACGGGGUUGCAGUCUUUGAGAGGUGGAAUUAAAUCCCAUGUACCAUGGCUCAUGAGAGCUGUUAAUUCACUGGACAUGGCUGCACGCCAUUCAGGGUGAGAUACAGCUUGGCUUACACAGGUUGGUUCCAGGAAAGGCGGAAGGGAAUGCUUGGACACAGUGUUUAAUUGUUUAGGUUUGAAAAUAUUAUUCAUCGAUCGAGUGGUCAUGGAGUGAUUACGGGAUGGAAUGUUGGUAAUUUGUGCGGGACAUGGCAGGGGGGAAGUAGAUGCAGGGGAGGUAGAUGCAGGAGAAACAUGUAAAUCAGAAUGGAGAUGCUCAUGAUGCAGAUUAGCAUUUGAUUCAGAAAUAGCAGGGGAGAGAGGGGGGGUAAUACCUGAAGAGGACGCAGAGGAGGCAGCAACAGUGUCCAAACUCGUUGAUGGCUCCAAUGGUGGAGUGGAAGUCGACGAAGAUGACGCAGGAACGAGAGGAGCAAGGGAAGGGAUUACAGGACAUGAAUUUAGUUUGAGGAACAAAUGGGUGUGGUUAGGCAGACGGGUGGAUGAUAGCUGAUCGGGUGGAUUUGUUUUUGAAACUGGACAAUUUGUUUCAUCAAACAGUACAUGUUUGGACACAUAAAUUCUAGAACUUAAGGGGUCGAUACAUUUAUAGGCACUUUGGGUUGGUGAGUAUCCUAUAAAGACACAUGGAAUGGACUUAGGCUGGAACUUAUGGGUGUUGUAUGGCUUAGUGAGAGGGUAGCAUAAACAUCCAAAUUUCCGUAAUUUGAGGUAAUUUGGUUGUUGACGGAAAAGAACUUCAAAUGGGGACUUGUUUUGAAGGAGAGGAGUGGGUUGACGAUUUAUGAGGUAAGUAGCAGUUUGAAAUGCAUGAGGCCAAUAAGACAGUGAUAAGGAGGCAUCAUGAAGCAGGGUAAGACCUGUCUCGACAAGAUGGCGAUGACGCCUUUCAGUAACACCAUUUUGUUGGGGAGUGUGGGGAGCAGUAGUGUAAUGACUUAUUCCAUGAUUGGACAAGUAAGUUUUCAAACCGAGAAAUUCUCCACCAUUAUCGGAGUACAAAGCUUUAAUGGUGGACUUAAAUCUUUUUUCCACCAGCAUUUUGAAUUGGGGAAAAAUGCUAGAAACCUGAGAUUUUGUAGACAUUGGAUAAAACCACAUAUAUUUGGUAUAAUGAUCCACAAAAAGAAGAUAAUAGCGUGCACCGCAAAUCCCAGUAAUUUGAGCAGGACCCCAAACAUCAGUAUAUAUAAUGUCAAGUGGAGAUUGACUUUGAAAACUUGUAGAACCAAAAGGAUGUUUAUGCGCUUUAUUUGUGGAACAAGAGGUACAUAACGAUGAGAAUGUUUUUGUGGAAACAGGAAGGGAUAAUUUGUUGACAAGAUGUUGAACAAUUUUAAUCGAAGGGUGUCCAAGACGUUUGUGCCACCCAUCAAGUGAAGUCCGUUCAUGCACAUAAGCAACUUUUUUUGGAGUGGGAGAAGCCACCAAGGAGUUUGGAAACAUAUAGACGCCAUUCUCACACGCACCUCUUAGAAGUAUUGCCCCCGUGGUUUUGUCCUUCACAAGAAAAAAAAAUGGAUAAAGUUCAAGAAAAACAUUAUUAUGUUUGGUGAAGUGAUGAACUGAAAUGAGAUUCUUGUGAAUAUGAGGAACACAUAAAGUAUCAUGUAAAUGAAAAGUUUUGGUAGGUGUGGGUAAAGCUAAAGAACCAAUAUGUGUAACUGCCAAACCUGUACCAUCACCAAGAAGAACCUCAUCAGUGCCGUCAUAUUCAGAAUGAAUAGAUAAGUUUUGGAGAUCACCCGUGAUGUUAUGAGAGGCUGCAGAGUCAAUUAACCAUUUUUUAUCUUGAGUAUCGGAGGAUCCAGCACAAUUAGCCGUCAUUGUAGAGGAUUGGAGUUUCGGGCAGAUCUUGGCUGUGUGACCCAAUUGAUCACAAUAUUGACAUUUAGGCUGGAAGCGCCGGUUUGAGUUGGAGCGGCCCGAAUUAUUAUUUCGCUGGCGGUCUCUAAAGGAGCCAUUUGAGGGGCGGUGUUGUCCUGAUUGGUGAAAAGAGCCAUUUCCUCUGUAGCUUCCUCUGGUUUGCUGAGAUACAGAGAAGGCGGUGUCCUUGUUGGCAAAUCGGUGGCUGGUAAAAUUUACAGCAGCCACGAGCUGCUGUGUAGCAGCCUCCAUCCUUCUCAAGUAACUUUCAUGCCCAACAAGCAUGUCAUGGAGUUCUUCAAAAACAAGGGAUUUUUCUCGUGCUCGAAUAGGAGCAGCAAUUUCACGAAAUUCUGGACCUAACCCAUGGAGGACAUAGAGGGUUAAGUCAUCAUCAGAGAUGGGGUGGUUAAUAAGUGCAAUUUCAUCAGCCAAGCUUUUGACCAUAUGAAGAUACUCUGAAAUCGGUCGAUUUCCACGCUGAAUCAAGGUUAGUUCUUCCUUGAGUUGCAUUGCCCUUGUACGCGAUUUACUUGCAUACAGUGUCGAUAAUUUUUUCCAUGCCUCGUGUGAGGUUUUGGUUGUGGCAAUGAGAGGUGUGAUUGAGGGUGAAGUGGAUGCAAGGAUGGCGCUAAGAAUUAGCUUAUCUUGCCUUACCCACCGGUUUUUUGUAGCUGUUGACUGUGGAGUACCAUCUGAGAGAGGGCACUGAGAUUCUCCAUUAACAUAGUCUAGGAGAUCAUAGCCGAUGAGGAGAGCCUCAAACUGUGCUCUCCAUUGAGGAAAAGAUGAGGGUGUGAGUUUCUCAUUGAUUUGAGUAGUGAUGUUGAAAAACACAAGGGAAAGUUCUGGAGAGGAGGUAGGCUGAUUUGUGAAAGACAUGGGGAUCAAAUUCUCGUUAGAGAGAUGAUGCUCUGAUACCAUAUAGAAGAUGUAAGAACUCAGAAGCUUACAGUGUAAUAUUUCAACAUAAUUGUAUUGAUGCUUAGCCUAUUGUUUUAUACUGAAAUUACAUAUUCUUGUAAGGAAAGAUUACAGCAAUCAAAAAUAGUUAUGGACAGAAUAUUUGUAUUAAUUCACAAGCAUGAUUGUAGGCUUAGUUACUGCUGCAAAUCAUCUGCGGAUUUCUUGCAUCUGCGGAUUUCUUGCAUCUUCCUUAAUAUGGUCAACUUGAAUUUUAAAAGGAAAAGAGAGAAAAAAAAAACACAUCCUGCGAUAAAUCAUCUCACCACCAAAACCAUGCACCAUCAUGGAAAAAAAAAAGAAAUUGCAGAUUCCAAUGACAUGUUAGAAGGAAAUUCUUGGCAGCCAAAAGAUGUAGCAUGCUCCACGAUGUCCCCCACUUUCGAGUAUAUGUUGCCACUUUUAUCUUUUUAAUUAUAUUUUAUAUUUAUUAAAAUAUAAAAUCAUUCAUUAACUAACUUGAUUAUAAUUAAAAAAUCAAAAUAAAAUAUAAAAGAUUCUUUGGAAGCCAAUUAAAAAAAAUAUGCUUUCAAAGGUAUUUUAUGAUUUCACUAUAUUUUUAAAAUAUAAAAAAAACUUAUUUAUUCAUAAUUAACCUGGUAAUAAUCAAUGAACUUUGCAAAAAGGUCAUAUAAUCCUCAAUUGUUAGUUCAUUGUUUUUUUCUUAUCCUGAAUAUUUUGAAAAUUUUUAUGAUAAAAUUAAUAAUCAAUUUUUAAAAUGAGGAAAAAAAAAACAGGCCGAAAGGAGGAUAAUUUCCAUGUGCAAUCUCAGUUUCAAUUACAUUGCACAUUUCAAAGAUCUCAUAAAUAGGAUUCAUAAACAAGAUUAACAAAUAUAUUUAAUUUACACUCUACAUUAGUUCGACGGGAAUAAAAUAAUUUGAUUUGAAUAAAAUACUUGUCUAAUUAGGUGGAGACUCAUAAAUAAAAUAUUACCAAUCACGUUACCCUUUGAGUUUUUCCAGAUUUGCAUUAUGGUCAAGAAGCACAUGAUGGGGAUUAUUUUAUAGGAUCCUGUUUUGUAAACGGUGCAGCAGCACGAUGCCAAUAAAUAAUGUGAAAGGUGGAAUACACGCGCAUAUAAUUACAAAAAUGCAGUAUAAAACUAUAAAAUUGUUUAAAAAAAUAAAGAUUAAGUGCAUGUUCAGAAUAAAAAAUUAAAGGAUAAAUUCAUAUAUUUUUAUAUAUUUAAAAUACAACGCAAGUUGUCUAUUUAUAAAAAAAUUAUUAUUUGAAUGACGUUGCAGCCACUUCAACUCUAAACAAAUCUUCUGUAAAAAACAAGCAAGAUGAAGAUUUCAAAGAUAUAAAUAUAGAUUGUAUAAUAUUUCCUUUUAAAUGAUCAUGUAUUAAAAAUAUAUUUCAUUAAAAUCUUGUAAAAGAUUAAAGAAAAUUUAACAAGAAAAAAACUCGAAUGUGUUUACUUUUUUUUUUAGAUUAAUGUGGUAUUUGGGCUAUUUUACGCGCAUCUCGACUAAUCCCAUGAACCCUGAAGUUAACGACUAUAUAAGUCUCCAGUAGUCGUGAGAUUUAUGAGACUUGAACUAAUAAUCUAUAAAAAACAAAUUUAGAAUCUGACUAAUUAAGAUAGACUCCUCGUAAUUAUAUUUAUUUUAUUAUUAUUAUUUGAAUGACGUUGCAGCCACUUCAACUCUUAACAAAUCUUCUGUAAAUAACAAGCAAGAUGAAGAUUUCAAAGAUCUCAGAUUCUCUCUCCUUUCUUUUUCUAAUGUACUACCAUCUUUCCAAUAAAUAAUAAGCCAAGGCUAAAUCUAAUCAUUCAAAGCUCAAAUUAAUCACUAAGCUUUCUCCUAUAUAUAUUUUGAUGGCGUCAACCGCAGAAAGAAGCAGAUAACAACAACACUAGAAUUUCUGGUUCAGUCUCUCCUUUCACAAUUGAGAAAGGAUCUCCUUCCUCGAUCCAGUCUUUAUGGGAACUUUCAUUUGGCCACUCGACACUUCUCCAAAUCAAGUCUAUUUAUCCUACAUCUAAACAAUGUAUUAUGACGGUUUAAAAAAAUAUAUAUAUACACAAGUUUUGAAAAACACAAUAAUUAAUUAAUAAACUUUGUUUUUUAAUACUAAUUUCAACUCACAAUAUAAAAUAUAACAAACAUGCACUAAUUUGACAAAAGAAAAAAAUAAGAGUGAGAUUGAAGGGGCCAAGAGCCAUUGAAACAGCAAUAAACUCCUUAACAUAUAAUCGGGGCAUGCAGGGCAUGAGGAUCCAUACAAGAUCAAUAUCCAUUAGAAAUAAUUAAUUGAAGUUGAUCGCAUUCUUAUCAUCAUGCGUUAAUUUGUCUUGUGUGCCAAUCCCAAUUAUUGGAUUACAAUAAUCUCUUUCAAACGUAUGAUCCAUUCACUUCUGUAGAAGAGGCUCACUUUUGUCAUCCCAUGUACUUAGCCGAUUUUUGGCACCCUCCACCUGAAAAUUACGCGACAUAAUAAUAUAUAAUAAUAAAAAUGCUUGCGUAAUCCAAACACACACACACACAUAACCAAGGAGAGUGGCUUUUGUUUGAUUAGAGUGGUAAUUAAGAGGGAGACUAACAUAAUUAACAUUAUCAGAUGUUAAUUAGUGUGUACGUACCUCUUUAUUCCAAUCUGUUCUCCAAGUGACCCCCAGCAAAAUCAAAGUUUGCAGGACUGUGCCCCCCAACAUGCCUGACCAUAUACCCUGUAGAAAACAAUAACUAUAUAACAACCAUUCAUGAUAAAAAUCUCUACCACACUAUUUAGAACCCUCUUAAUUAAUUUUAAUUGUGAGUUUUAAUAUAAAAAUAUAUAUAUAUAUUUAUAAUCAUUUUAAAUGGACGUCAAUCUCUAUAAAUCAGAUAUAAUUCAUUUGAUUUACUACACUGAGAAGAAAAAAAUGAUGAAUGCGAUAGUUUUGUACCUUGGCACCAAGGUCAAAUGUAAAACCAAGAAGCACCCCUAGCGGAAUACCAAUAAGGUAGUAGCAUCCUACGUUAACAUAUGCAACAAAUGCUUGCCAUCCACAUCCAACAGCCACCCCUUCAGCAGGCACAAAAUUGAAGGAAACAGUUAGAUUUGAGAACAUAUGUACUUAUAUAUCAUAAUGAAGACCACAUGAAGUUCCAUCUUCGACGACAGAACAGUACUUAAGCUUUGCUGUAAUUAAUGACAACCAUUGAUGUUUCCCUUCUUCUUUCCUCGAUUUUGUCAACAUUCCAAUGCUACCUCCCUUGGCUUCGGAAUUAUGCAAUUACUUGUCUUAUGAAGACAUAAAAUUAAGAUUUUUUUCCCCUGAGAGACACUUUGUUGCAAUGACAAGAGGCAACAGCAAAGGUUUUAAUUCCGGUACACAAUGAUUGAGGCCAGAGCCUGCCGCCUUUGGUACUUUACUGUUUUUUUUUUAAUUACUGAAUGAAAAUUAGAAUAUCACUUGUUUAAUAAUUAUUAUGAUUAAAAAAACACCUCCCAUUAAUAUUUCACUCCUAUAUAUUCAGUCAUUUUGCAGUAAAUUAUCUGUGCUUGGUAUCGCUAACCCUCAAGAGUGAUGUAUUACAGCACAAUUGCUAAACUAAAUUAGUAACUGCAGAAUUUAUUAGAGAAGAUGGCAGCUAUCAAAGAAGCUAUUGAGGAAUAUUUAACUGCGAUUCAAUUAUUAUUUUAACUGUUUUUAAUUUCAAAAAACAUCAAAUUUAGAUUUUGGGUAUUUUUAGAUGAUUUUUAUAUAUUAAUAUAAAAAUUUAAAAAAUAUUAUUUCAAUAUAUUUCUAAAUAAAAAAACACUAUCCACAGUACAACACUUACCGGAUAGUACAGGCUGAACACCGUUUAGUAUGAGAGUGACAGCAAGGAAUGGAGAGAGGUCAGAGGCAGCUUUAGCAACAACUUCACCUUCUGUGAAGAUAUAGCUAAUGGAAUCUCGAAAUAUCAGCACAAUAAUGGCUGCGAUUACUGAAACUACAAAUGAGCAUGAAGUCACCACAAGGACUGAAAAUGACGCUGAUUUUGGAUGUCCUGCUCCUAGCUCAUUGCUCACUCUCACACUGUUUAAGACCAAGUAUAUGUUAAUUGCCUAUCUUCAUGUAAAUAAUGGUGCUCCUAUAUAUGUAUGUAAAAUCGCAAUUCCCCUACAUGUUGUACACUGACUUUAGGACAAUAUCAUGGUGUGUUGAAAAUUAUAUCUGCGAGCGUCCAUACAUAAGCAGAUGAGAAACAUAAUAAUUUCAAACCAGUUAACCUAUUUAUUGACAAGACAUCAUGAUGUCCUACUGUUUUUUAAACAACUGUAAUAAUUGAUGGGUGUACGAAGUUUCAUGGAUGGAACAAUUAUGGGAUUAGUUGAUAGAUAUAGAUUGUUUUACAUCUAUAUCAAUUAUUCCAAUAAUUGUUUUAUUCUAUAUAAGUUUUUCCAAUUAUAGUAAUUAAUCAAACAAAAAAUAUAGAGCCUGAAAGAUCAACAAACCUUGCAGCAGCAUUAAAUCCAACUGAAAUCAUGAAAACCCAUCCAGAUAUUGUCAUGCUGCAUUAAAGAAGAGAGGAAUGAAUAGUGUUCACAAGAAGUCCAUAGUACUGUUAGCAAGAUCGACAUUGUCAAGCACCAUACCUUUUCCUUGAAUUUCUUUUCUUGAAAGUAGCAAGAAAUAAAAUAUUCCGAAAGAACCAAGUCUAGUUAAUUACUUACCAAACUGAGAGUGAGUCUAAUGCAACCUCAGCAUUUUCAAGCAAUCCAGCAAUCAGGACUAAAAUCUGAAAGUACCACGUCUCUAAACAUAACAUUACUGCUGAUGCAGCAGACAGUCUGAAGAAGCUCCAAAGCCCACUAAAGGCCUUCACGCUAAAACUUUUCCAUGUGUUUCUACACUUCUUGCUCAUUACAAUGUACACAAACUGAGCCACCACAAUGAUCCACCAAGAUAAACUCAACACAAGACCUGCUCCUAGUAAGCCCCAGUUCCAUUUGAAGACUGCAAGCCAGGUGAGCAAAACAUGCACCACAAGUGCACCUAGUGAUAUGUACGCACUAGGUGCGAUUAUGCUUUGUGCUUGCAAGAAUUUUUGAAUAGGAAAGUUGGCAGCAUAAGCGAAAAUUUGAGGGAUGAGUCCAAAGACAAAAACUGCAGCUGCUGAUGCUAUAUUGACUGGCUCCCCAAGUAAGAUCAAGAUAGGUUUGGAAAAUAUAUAGAUCAUCAUUAAGGGGAUCCCAGCUGCCAUGAGGAGAACAGUUGAUCUUUGGAGGUAUAUGCCUAGCAUUUCAUGUCUAUUUGCUCCAUAUGCUUGGCCACACAGAGUUUCUACUGCACUUCCCAUACCAAGCUGCAACAAGAAAAAAACUUAUUUAGCAAAAGUAGAGGAGAAUUCUCCACUUGAUAUAGAAAGAAAAAACAAGAAGUAUAAAGAAAGACAAACCGAUGGAGGAUUAUGCAUGAAGUUCUUUACACUACUUCCAAAUAUCCUAACUAAAGCUUAAAAGGGUAAAAAGGAAAGGAAUAAACAAAAGAGAGAGAAGAGAAGAAAAGAGAAUGAUCAUGACCAUUCAUUACAUGUGCAAGAGCAGAUAGAGAUCAGGAGGUAUUAAUUACCAUAAGGCCAUAGGCAAAAACUUGGAUGCCAGUGUUACCAAGAGAGACAGCAGCAAGCUCAAGAUUUCCAAGGUGACCGCAAAAGAUCUGAGUAGACAUGGAAACAACGUUAUUGAGCAAGUAAACUAUCACAGCUGGAGCUGCAAGGUGGAAAAGCAAUUUCAGUUCAACCCAAGAAGCUGAACGGAUUCUCUUAGAGUAUGGUGCUUCAGUAUCUGUUAGUAUUUGUUCAAGCUCAUCGCUCACUGUCUCAUGAUCAUCAUGGACAGAGAGUUUAAAGCUUAAUCUCGGAGGAUCAGUCUCCAUUUCCCUCCUCUUUUGCGCUUGUGAUUUGAGCUUCUAUAUCAAAUAAAUGUUUUGUCUUGAUGUACAUAACAGAUACUACUUAUAUGCUAAAGUUUAUAUCGACGAAGCUACUUGUAAAUUCUUGGAUUCCUCCUUUCCACAUUAUGUAGUCAACAUGGUACAAAGACAACUGCAUUCAUGAAGUCAAAUGUGAAAUCAGUGUGGUUAAUUUAAUUGGUAUCCUUGCUACGUCUCCAUCAUUACAUCAUUUAUUUUGUCGAAUGUGCUUCACGUUGUUGUGGGCUGCGUGUGAAAAAUGAAAAGAAAAGUUUUGUAAAGUAUAAAACAUGUGAGAGGUCCAUCGCGUGCAUGCACUAGGGUUACAAAAUGCACAAUUUAAAAAAAUAAUAAAUAAUAUGAGACUGCCAAAUAGCAGUUUAUCUUUUGUAACUGACAAUUAAUGUAUUCUUAUUACCUCUUUUUUUUUUUCAAAUUUAAUGUGAAAGUCUUGCGCAAAAGUCAUCCACUACUCAUUUAACAGCGAUGCUAGUGCGGUGCUGCCAGAUCAUUUUCCUUUUCUCUAUAGGCAGCAAUGGACAUGAUGAUUAUGAUUCUUGUUUUGUUUUGGUAUACGUAUGUUCUCAUUGGCUUUUUCGAUUUGGGUUUUGGUGACGAUCGAGCACUGAUGCCAGGGCAGUUUUCUUGUUCUCUUUUACUUCUCUAAUCAUAUGCUUUCCUCUUGAAUCGUCAUCAGCAUCCAUUGCUGCCUCCACAAAAAACAAAAAUAGUAAAAUUUUGAGCUAAUCCAAGUCUCACAAGCUGAACUCAAACACAACAUUAGACACCAAAUCCAUAAUUAAAAAACAAAUACAUAGUGGAUUUUGUGGUUUGCGGUGGGUUCAAUCAUUGGUAUCAAAGAACAAUCAUAGAUCUAUCAAAACCAGUUUCAAAUUAAUGGUAAUAAGUUUGAUCUAUUCAAUUAAACAAUUGCCUUCAUAGUCUCACUGAUCGGUGGUGAUUAGCAAGGAAACUAUGAUUGAUUUGUAGGUAUUUAAUAAGAUUUGGUUUCGGAAUUUAAUUUCUUUAAGUCAAAACGUCCAAUAAAAAAUUAGCUAGGAGACAGACAAAUCAAAAACUUGCUGAGGCAAAAGGGUUGGGGAUAAAUUAGUACGAUAGGAUAGGUCAAGGACUAAUCUGUUAGUGAUUUUACAUGUUGGGGACUGAUUUGUAUUUUUCUCUAUUUCUAUAGCAUGCAACAUAAGAGUUGUUCAGAAACAGGAUAAUAUUAUAAUUUUUCUGAAAAUUGAAGUUGGAAAAAGAAAAACUAGAAUUUUAUGUUCAAAUGCAUUAUUUCUCUAUCUAGAAAACUAGAAAAAUAGUUUUUUUUUUUUUCUAAAGCUGUAUUGAAUUUAAAAAACACAAGUUCUAGACGUUUUCCAAUAUAAGUUUUUCAUUUUUUUCAAAAUGAAGAAAAAAUAUGAACAAUACAAUUUUUUUUUCUUUUAUAUACAAGCAUUUUUAGCAAUAUAAAAUAUUACCAUGAUAAUUAUAAAUCAUGGGUUAGAUUUUCUUAUGAAAAAUAGUUGUAUUCAUGAUAUAAAGAAAAAUCCAUAAAAAAGAAAAAGAAAAACUAUUUUCUGUUACUAAACACAUAUAUAUUAUCUCGUUCUCGAAAUCACACAAAGACUUGUUUUUUUUUUUUUUAUUUAACACCAUAAAAGACUAGUCAAGAGUUUAAGGACCAGUUCCUCAAUUUCGAUUUUCGAAAUUUAUUUUAAAAUCAUCAUAAGUCAAGAGUUGGGGAUGGGGAUUUGACAUAUAAUUAAAAUCUGCGAAGAACAUUCAGCUACAAUUCGGAGUUUAAUUUUCACGCAGAAAUUUCAAGUUCAAACUUGGAAGCCGUCCCUCGUGAGAGGAAAAAAGAACAUAGAAAUUGGAGAAUGGUCCUACUUAAUUAUAUAUGGUGUCCAAGAAUCAUUGAAAUCGAACGUUCUAGUAAGCAAGCAAAAAUUCUGAAACACAAAAUCCUAGACGUGAAUUAUUAGAUUUAUUUUGUCCUGGCCACUGCAUGGUCAGUAAAUGAUUUGUGGUCUAGAAAAUACAGUGGUUUGUGGUCAAGAACUUGCUUUUGGACUAAAUGAUACACUUCUCUUUUAGGUUUCUCUUCCUCCAAUAUCUUGAUUGGUUCCAGCUGCUUUCGAUCCUUGUCAUGUUUUGAAGAAGACGAUACGUGUGUCUGCAGCCAUUUUCUUGAUCCCAUCAUUUGGAAAAUUAAUGGAUACUAUAAAAAGUCUUAGUCAUUGAGUAAUUAUAGGCAUAAAUAUUGCUAAAUCAAUUAAAAUCUAACCCUUUCAUGUUCACCAUCUCUAUCCAUAUGACAUACAUAUUUAGAUUUUUCUACUUAUCAUAAUGACAUAAAAUUAUUAUAAAAUUCAACUCUAAUCUUCUUCUUUCUCUCUGAUUAAAUUAAUAAAGUAUUAAUUUAUAAGCUUAUACAAGUCUUAAACUAAAUGAUUUCUCUCGAGAUUUAGACUUUUCUGAUAAUUUAAGAUGACGACUCUUCAAUAUAUCUAACGGAUAGACAUGCAUAUCUAUACAAUUUAUCUAUAAAAUAUUCAUGAUUGCAUGCUUGUUAAUUAAAUGAUUGUUUAUAAUUUAAGAUGGCUCUUCAAUAUAUAAAUCUAACGGAUAGACAUGCAUAUCUACACAAUCUAUCUAUAAAAUGUUCAUGAUUGCAUGCUUGUUAACUAAAUGGUUGUUCAGAAGUGUGAUAAUUUUUAAUUUUUAAGGAUGGUUUGUAGAAGUGUAUUUUAUUUAAAAAAUAUUAAAUUAAUUUUUUUUAUACUUUUAAAUAAUUUUAAUAUGUUUCAAUCAAAAACAUAUCUAAAACAAAAAAUAUUUUACAAUUAAAUAUCAAAAACACAUUAAACCUUGCGAAUCACAUAAUCUCAAAUUUGGUGUGUCACCAAAUUAUAGAGAUCCGACAGAUGUAAAUCAUAGACUCCUCCGUGAUUGCAUUAUUUAGUUCAAAAAUCAUCUAUUAUUACAAAAGGAAAAGUCUUGUCUGUAGAAGUCCUCUCCCUAGACAUCACAAUUCCAAUUAGAACACCACUACUUUCGAUUCUCUUGAGUUGUAAGAAUUAUUCCUCCAACAUCAUUCAUGAGUGAGAUAGCAUUCUCAUCAUCACAAAUUAUUCCUUCCUAUCCAUCAUCAACCCCAGAGACUGAACUGGAAGGACAAAAAUCAAUGUCUUCUGCACAUGAUGAGUCCAAAAACCGCAGUCCCACUCAUCACAAAGUCUACUUUAAUUACUCCACAAGAAGAGGCUGCCCUUUUUCAUCCCAUGAACUCAACCGGUUUUUGGCACUCUCCACCUGUAAAUUUCGACACAAAUUUAUAAUGUUACUGGUCAUUUUACGGAUAAUAUGAUAUGAAAACAAAAUCAUUCACAUUUAAUUUAUAUAUACAUAGUAGUAAUUUUUUAUAAAGGGUAAGGGUGAUAUAAGCUCGGUGUUUUAUGAUUGCAGUAAUUUUUAAAGUAAUUUUAGUUGAAAUUACAUAAGCGAUAUUUUUUUAUUUUAAGAAAUUAUUUUUAAUAUUUAAACAAUAUUCCAAACCACGCUUAAGAAAGCAUGGCAUAUCCAUUACAUGCAUGGAUGUCAGACAUUGGAAACAUAAAAAAGCAUUGGGACGUGUAUUGAGAGCAGAUUGUGUUCAAUAAUUGAAAAAGAGAUGAUUGCAUUCAAUUGCGGUUGGCCUACAAUAAUUACUGUGGCUGUGGCCAAAGUGAUUUAUAUGGACAUGACCAAUCUCUUCUAGAUGGUGAUUUGUGAUGAUGCGAUUAUCCCAGGAAAAUUCAAGUAAGAAUUGGAAGCUGGAGCUCACUAACAAGUUAAUUUCUUCAACUCCCCUGGUUUAAAAUCACAGUUAUUAACCCGACCGCUAUAGUUAUUGAAAGAUUGUCUGGGAGGAUAAUAGAUUUUUACUAAAAAUAUGUUAAAAUGAUAUUUUUUAUAUUUUUUUUAAAUUUAUUUUUGACAUUAAUAAAACAACAAAAAUUAAAAAAACAACAAUUCAACCGUUGCAUCAAACAAGAUCUAAAUUUGAUCAAUCAAGCGAUUAAAUCUGUGACUAGAUCAACCCAGAUUCUAGCCUUGAUAGGAUUUAAAAAAAUAUUCAACUUGGAAAUGACCCGAUCGACCUAGAUCAAAACAAUAUUUUAUUUUUAUAAAAAAAUUCUUCCAAACAACAUUAUUUGAUAUUUUUAAAAAAAUUGAAAGAAGGUGAAUUUUUAUUAAUUUGAAUUAACUCAUCUAACCAAUUACCACUUGAGUCUUAGACUAGGUUGGAAACCAGCAAGGUUUAAUAACUUUGGUUAAGCUACAAAGAUAUCCAGUUACUUGGGUCUUGGACUAGGUCGGGAAUCCAGGCAGUUUAAUAACUUCGGUUAAGCUGCAAAGAUAUUGACUCUGAAUUAGACUAAAUGUCUAAUAUCCUAUCGAAAGUUUAUAUGCUGUGAUCGGAAGAUCCUUUUUAAAGUUGGAACAAAAUGAUUUUGUUUAAUUACUAUUGCCCAAAGUGAUGAAAAUGAGAAUUGAGUUUUUACCUCUUUAUCCCAAUCUGUUCUCAAAGUAACCCACACCAAGAUUAUAGUUUGCAAAACGGUCCCUCCUAACAUGCCUGACCAUAUUCCCUGCAAAAUAAAUACAUUAGAUACCUUAAAUUAUGCUUCGAACAUUUUGUUCUCUACGUUCACUGUGCUAGCACUUCAAAUAACAUUGAAGGAUGGGCUCUGUGCUUAGGGUUUCCUUUUAAUCAUCAGAGCCUAUAGAACAUGAUUAAAAAUCAGUAUCUUUAAAGGUGGGGCAUGCACUAAAUGAUGAUAUAUAUACACUACGAAUGAUAAACAAUGAUUAGUGGAGCUAAAGUAGACAUACUUUACAACUAUCAAAUGAAUUAACUCGUAAGUUUAGCAUCUAACUCUUUUUACCUGGCAGAAUAUGUAAAUUUGAUCUCUACAUGGAAAAAUAAAGUGUUUUUUUUUAAGCAUUGCUAGAGCUUUUGUGGUUGCGGGUUUAAGAAAAAUAGAUUUUAAAAAAAUACUUAUAGUCCGGUUUUAAAAAAUAUAUUUAGUUGAAAUUGUUUUGGAAUAGAUUUUGCAUGCAAAAUAAAUAAAAAACAGGUAUUCAUGAAUGAAAAGUAGUUAUCUUAGCUUCUACAAAACACAGUUUGAAACAUAAUUAUACAUGGAGCAUGGUGCAAAAAAGCAUAAGCUAGUCAAGUAAAGGCAGUGAUCCUACCUUGGCACCAAGGUCAAAUGUAAAACCAAGAACCACUCCUACUGGAACUCCAAUAAGGUAGUAGCAUCCUACAUUCACAUAUGCAACAAAUGCUUGCCAUCCACAUCCGACAGCCACACCUUCAACACAAAGAAAUUUCAGUAAUUUUGUAACCGAAGAUCCAUUGCACCUAUUGUUAAAGAAAAAUAAACAAAUACUUGGUAAAGAUCUUACCGGACAGGACAGGCUGAAUGCCAUUUAGUAUGAGAGUAGCAGCAAGGAAUGGGGAGAGAUCAGAGGCAGCUUUAGCAACAACUUCACCUUCAGUGAAGAUAUAGCUAAUGGAGUCUCGAAAUAUCAGCACAAUAAUGGCUGCGAUUACUGAAAUUAUAAAUGAGCAUGAAGUCACUACAAGGACUGAAAAUGAUGCUGAUUUUGGAUGUCCUGCUCCUAGCUCAUUGCUCACUCUCACACUGUUUAAGACCAAGUAUAUGUUAAUUGCCUGCAAUGCUAUAUGCUACAGCAAAAUGAAAGCGUUUUUCCUUGAUCUCUUUCAUAACAAAAACUGACCUUGCAGCAGCAUUAAAUCCAACUGAAAUCAUAAACACCCAUCCUGAUAAUGUCAUGCUGCAAAUAGAGAGAAGUAGAUUGUGUUAACAAGUCAGUCAAUAAACGUACAAGAAGCAACAAUGCCUUUACUUUUCUUGAGGCGGGCAAGACAUGGAAAAUACGAAAGAAACAAGUCUAGUUAAUUGCUUACCAAACUGACAGAGCAUCCAAUGCAACCUCAGCAUUUUUAAGCAACCCAGCAAUCAAUACUAAAAUCUGAUAGUACCAAGUCUCCAAACACAACAUUACUGCUGAUGCAGCAGACAGUUUGAAGAAGCUCCAAAGCCCACUAAAGGCCUCCAUACUGAAACCUUGCCAUGUCUUUCUACAGCUCUUACUCGUUAAAAUGUACACAAACUGACCCCCCACAAUGAUCCACCAUGAUAAACUCAAGACAAGGCCAGCACCUAGCAAGCCCCAGUUCCAUUUGAAGAUUGCGAGCCAGGAGAGCAAAACAUGAACCACAAGGGCACCCAAUGAUAUAUAUGCACUAGGGGCAAUUAUGCUUUGGGCUUGCAAAAAUUUUUGAAUAGGAAAAUUGGCAGCAUAAGCAAAAAUUUGAGGGAUAAGUCCAUAGACAAAAACUGCAGCUGCUGAUGCUAUGCUGACUGGUUCACCUAAUAACAUCAAGAGAGGUUCGCAAAAUAUGUAGAUCACCAUUAGAGGGAUAGCCGUUGCCAUGAGGAGAAUUGUUGACCUUUGGAGGUAUACACCUAGCAUUUCAUAUCUAUGUGCCCCAAAUGCUUGGCCACAUAGUGUCUCCACUGCACUUCCCAUACCAAGCUGCAAGAAAAGCAAGCUUUUUUAAUAUAACUAGAGGGCAAUUCUCCACUUGAUAGAGAAGGUAUGAAAGAAUUUUAACCCCCGCCAUUUUUGUUGCCUGAAAAGGGAAAAUUCUUGAAGAAGAAGGGGAAAAAAAACAGAGAUAACAGGGGAAGACAAAAUCUCUGGAGAACAAAGCAUAAAAUUCUCCUUUUUUCCUUUUCUCCUCAGUCCACUUUUGGCCUAAAGGUUUCAAAAAAAAACACACGAGAAAAGCCAAUCUUCCAAAUCCUUACUCUAGCUAAUACAAGAAAUAUGAAAGGAAAAGAAAAUCAAAACAAGAAUUAUCUUUUCUUCUUGUUAUCCUUCCUUUUCUUAGUUAACUAAUGAUCACAAUCAUCCAUAUAUAUAUGUGAGAGGGGGGGGGGGAGAAGAGGUAUUACCAUAAGACCAUAGGCAAACAUUUGGAUACCAGUGUUACCAAGAGAGACAGCAGCAAGCUCAAGGUUUCCAAGGUGACCACAAAAGAUCUGAGUAGACAUGGAAACAACAUUAUUGAGCAAGUAAACUAUCACAGCUGGAGCUGCAAGGUGGAAAAGCAAUUUCAGUUCAACCCAGGAAGCUGAACGGAUUCUCUUAAAAUAUGGUGCUUCAGUAUCUGCUAGUAUUUGUUCAAGCUCGCUGCUCCUUGUCUCGUCAUGGAAUGAGAGCUUGAAGCUCAAUCUCAAAGGCUCAGAAU